AAAAAAAAAAAAAAAAAAAAAGAAAAGGUCGACACUUGGAAUACGAUACCGUUCGAGUUGAUUGAGGCUUAUUCCAUAUCGUUUCUUGUUGGGUUUGAU
rnacentral:ribozyme from 14 species